AUACUAACCAAGCAGGGGAGAUACCAUGAUCAAGAAUGUGGUUCUCCCAGGGUGAUGCUCAGCCAUUGUACUCCAGCUGCACUUAAUCCUGUGAAGUCCCUAAGUGUGGGAAUCUCAGCUGCAUAACUUCUGGUAGAGGGGGACUGCGUUCGCGCUCUGCCCUG